AACGUAGGAGACAAACGUUAUCCGGAAUCACUGGGCGUAAAGCGCACGUAGGCGGAUCUUUAAGUCAGGGGUGAAAUCCUGGAGCUCAACUCCAGAACUGCCUUUGAUACUGGGGAUCUCGAGUCCGGAAGAGGUGAGUGGAACUCCGAGUGUAGAGGUGAAAUUCGUAGAUAUUCGGAAGAACACCAGUGGCGAAGGCGGCUCACUGGUCCGGUACUGACGCUGAGGUGCGAAAGCGUGGGGAGCAAACAGG
rnacentral:rRNA from 1 species